UGGGGAAUAUUGCACAAUGGGGGAAACCCUGAUGCAGCGACGCCGCGUGAACGAAGAAGGUAUUCGUAUCGUAAAGUUCUGUCCUAUGGGAAGAUAAUGACAGUACCAUAGAUUAAAGCUCCGGCUAAAUACGUGCCAGCAGCCGCGGUAAUACGUAUGGAGCGAGCGUUGUCCGGAAUUAUUGGGCGUAAAGGGUACGCAGGCGGUUUAAUAAGUCGAAUGUUAAAGAUCGGGGCUCAACCCCGCAAAGCAUUGGAAACUGAUAAACUUGAGUAGUGGAGAGGAAAGUGGAAUUCCUAGUGUAGUGGUGAAAUACGUAGAUAUUAGGAGGAAGACCAGUAGCGAAGGCGACUUUCUGGACACAAACUGACGCUGAGGUACGAAAGCGUGGGGAGCAAACAGG
rnacentral:rRNA from 1 species